UACGUAGGGGGCAAGCGUUGUCCGGAAUUAUUGGGCGUAAAGCGCGUGUAGGCGGUCCGGUAAGUCGGCUGUGAAAGUCCAGGGCUCAACCCUGGGAUGCCGGUCGAUACUGCCGGACUAGAGUUCGGAAGAGGCGAGUGGAAUUCCCGGUGUAGCGGUGAAAUGCGCAGAUAUCGGGAGGAACACCAAUGGCGAAGGCAGCUCGCUGGGACGUUACUGACGCUGAGA
rnacentral:rRNA from 1 species